ensembl:snoRNA Gm23852 small nucleolar RNA SNORD19B
UUAAAGCUAAAUACUAGGAGUACACAAAAUGUUGAUUUGUGGAAAAAAAAAUAAGAUCCAACUCUGAUUUCAUCUAAAG